GAUGGCGACCGGCGCACGGGUGAGUAACACGUAUCCAACCUGCCUCAUACUCGGGGAUAGCCUUUCGAAAGAAAGAUUAAUACCCGAUGUUAUAGUCCUACCGCAUGAUGGGAUUAUUAAAGAAUUUCGGUAUGGGAUUGGGAUGCGUUCCAUUAGUUAGUUGGCGGGGUAACGGCCCACCAAGACAACGAUGGAUAGGGGUUCUGAGAGGAAGGUCCCCCACAUUGGAACUGAGACACGGUCCAAACUCCUACGGGAGGCAGCAG
rnacentral:rRNA from 1 species